rnacentral:rRNA from 1 species
GAUGAACGCUGGCGGCGUGCCUAACACAUGCAAGUCGAACGGAAAGGCCUCAACUUGCUGGGGUACUCGAGUGGCGAACGGGUGAGUAACACGUGGGUGAUCUGCCUUUCACUCUGGGAUAAGCUUUGGAAACUGGGGCUCAUACCGGAUAUGAACUGCCUUUCGUGUGGGGGCAGUAGAGAUUUUUCGGUUAAAGAUGAGCUCGCGGCCUAUCAGCUUGUUGUUGGGGUAAUGGCCUACCAAGGCGUCGGCGGGUAGCCGGCCUGUGGGAGUGUACGGCGGCAUUGAGACUGAGGGGAGGCCGCAGUGCCGACGGGUGGCAGAAGUGGGGAAGAUUGAACAAUGGGCGGAAGCCUGAUGAAGCGACGCCGCGUGGGGGAUGACGGUCUUCGGGUUGAAAACUCAUUUCGACAGGGACGAAGCUUUUUGUGACGGUACCUGUAGAAGAAGCACCGGCUAACUACGUG